rnacentral:rRNA from 1 species
UCAGAUCACGUAAGUUUUUAAUAGUCGAACAGACUAAACUUGUUAGUAACUGCUCCAACAUUGUCAACUUAAUUCAACAUCGAGGUCGCAAUCUCCCAUUAUUGAUAAGAACUCGUUAAUUAAAUAACGCUGUUAACCCUAGAGUAACUUUAUACAUCUAUAUUUAUUACACUUUAUUUACAAAAAUCUGUUUCCUCAUUUAUUACCCCAAUAAAAAAAUUUCUACUUUAAAAGCUUCUAGGGUCUUCUCGUCCCAGAAAAUAUAUAAAAACAUUUUUAUUUUUAGUUUAAAUUCAAAUUUAUUAAAUAAAACAUUCCCAUCAGUUUCUACCCUUCAUCCCAGUUUACAAUUAAUAAA